rnacentral:rRNA from 1 species
GAUGAACGCUGGCGGCGUGCUUAAUACAUGCAAGUCGAACGGACAGGCCCUGCUCUUGCGGCGUGCUCGUUUGGCGCACGCGUGGGUAUCACGCGUGUGUCCUGUCCCUGUCAUUCUGGUAUCUCUAGGGGAAUGGGGCUCUUACAGGCUAUGAUCUUUCGCUCCUCGUUGUUCGUUGGUAAGAUUUGGCGGUGGGGGCUGGACUCGAGGCUCAUCAGCUUGAUUGUGUGGUAGUGGCUUGCCAAGGCUAUGAAGGGUAGCCGGCCUGAGAGGGUGACCGGCCACAUUGGGACUGAGAUACGGCCCAGACGCCUACGUGAGGCAGCAGGGGGGAAUAUUGCACAAUGGGCCGAAGCCUGAUGCAGCAACGCCGCGUGCGGAAUGACGGCCUUCGGGUUGUAAACCGCUUUCGCCUGUGACGAAGCGUGAGUGACGGUAAUGGGUAAAGAAGCACCGGCUAACUACGUG